rnacentral:rRNA from 1 species
GUUGAACGCUGGCGGCAUGCCUAACACAUGCAAGUCGAACGGUAACAGGAAGCAGCUUGCUGCUUUGCUUACGAGGGGCGGGCGGGUGAGUCAUGUCUGGGAAACUGCCCGAUGGAGGGGGAUAACUACUGGAAGCGGUAGCUAAUCCCGCAUAACUUCUCAAGCGCAAGGUGGAGGACCUUAAGGCCUCUUUGCAUCCACUUUUCCCUGAAUCGAUUCGGUAGUAGGUGGUAGGAGGGGUAACGGAUUACCAAGGCGACGAUCCAUAGCUGGUCUGAGAGGAUGACCAGCCACACUGGAACUGAGACACGGUCCAGACUCCUACGGGAGGCAGCAGUGGGGAAUAUUGCACAAUGGGCGCAAGCCUGAUGCAGCAAUGCCGCGUGUAUGAAGAAGGCCUUCGGGUUGUAAAGUACUUUUAGCGGGGAGGAAGGGAGUAAAGUUAAUACCUGCGCUCAUUGACGUUACCCGAAGAAGAAGCACCGGCUAACUCCGUG